UACAGAGGUCUCAAGCGUUGUUCGGAUUCAUUGGGCGUAAAGGGCGCGUAGGCGGCGGGGUAAGUCGGGUGUGAAAUCUCAGAGCUCAACUCUGAAAUGGCACUUGAUACUGCUCUGCUAGAGGAGUGGAGAGGAGAUUGGAAUUCACGGUGUAGCAGUGAAAUGCGUAGAUAUCGGGAGGAAGACCGGUGGCGAAGGCGGAUCUCUGGACAGUACCUGACGCUGAGGCGCGAAGGCCAGGGGAGCAAACGGG
rnacentral:rRNA from 1 species